UACGGAGGAUCCGAGCGUUAUCCGGAUUUAUUGGGUUUAAAGGGUGCGCAGGCGGGAGAUUAAGUCGGCGGUGAAAUUUUGCAGCUCAACUGUAAAAGUGCCUUCGAAACUGGUUUCCUUGAGUGUGGAUGAAGUAGGCGGAAUUUGUGGUGUAGCGGUGAAAUGCAUAGAUAUCACACAGAACACCGAUUGCGAAGGCAGCACACUAAGUCAUUAUUGACGCUGAGGCACGAAAGUGUGGGGAUCAAACAGGAUUAGAUA
rnacentral:rRNA from 1 species